rnacentral:rRNA from 1 species
CAUUACAGAGAAAAUGCCCCUUGGGGUAUAUCUCCCCACCCUUUGUAUACAAUAUCAUUUGUUGCUUUGGCAGGCCCGUCUCUGGACCGCUGGCUAAUUUGCUGGUCAGUGCCUGCCAGAGGAUCCAUAAAACUCUUUUAUAACUUAUUGUCUGAUUCAAUGCAAUUAUUAAAACUUUCAACAACGGAUCUCUUGGUUCUGGCAUCGAUGAAGAACGCAGCGAAAUGCGAUAAGUAAUGUGAAUUGCAGAAUUCAGUGAAUCAUCGAAUCUUUGAACGCAUAUUGCACCUUCUGGUAUUCUGGGAGGUAUGCCUGUUCGAGCGUCAUUACGACCAACAAGCCUCUUAAGCUUGGUGUUGGAUGUCACCUAUAUAUUUAAGGUGCAUCUUAAAAUCAAUGAGCAGUUUUCUCAGCUUCCGAGCGUAGUAAUUUAUUCGCUUUUGGUGCUUAGAUGUCCUGCUAAAUACUUAACAUAUCAUGGUUUGACCUCGGAUCAGGUAGGGAUACCC